CUAAAUCUCCGCCAAAUGACUAUACGCUCGCAUUUGGUGAGAGCGGCACACAGUCGCAAGAACUUGUGGAGGAAAUACCGGAGUUCUGGCAGCUUCAGGUGCACUAGAUCAUUCAGUAACAUGGGCGGCUUUGUAGUUCUACCUUACAUCAGAGCAAACUGCACUCGACAGAAAUCAAGGGCAGCCGCACCGUUAUAGCUAAGCAAAUUAAGGACAAUUACGCCGCGUCUUCAGACUUCGAGCACGCUCCGACAGCCCAGCGAUAGAUAUUUAAAACACAACCACACUCGGACGAGAAAAUUUUGCUUCUGCCAAGUGAACGUAGCGGGUAUUUCAAGACGCGUGUUAAAUUCAUGGCUGUUUCAUUCGUAAACAUUACUUAAGUGACGUAAAAUUAUCAGUGAGCAAAACAGUUUUUAUUUCAACGCAAGGAAACAAAACCGAAACUAGCGCAACUGUUUUGCCCAGUUGUGCAGAUACAAAAUGAUCCAAAGCCGAAGCCGUCAAUAGCAUGACGCCAUUUUGAACUUGUGCUGCAUCACGCGCGAGUACGUUGUCGUUGAGUGGUUCUGAAAUCGCUGCGUUAAGGGCGACUGCAACCAAGCGUUGUGGCAAGUUACGGUGGGAGCUUCUGUCCGUGCUGUGUGAUUGCGACGAGGGGACCGCCGCCAGCAGCAGCGUAUCGCCGAUAAGCGCCCGAAGUGCUGCGGUUUGCACUGCAUCUUUCAUUGUGAUAUGGGAGAUCGCAACGGACAGAGACGACCAGAUGCAUACGAACGACUACCAGCGGAGAGUGACCUGUGCCAUAUUUCUCUUAACGUCUCAGGUAUUCAAGAAAUGGCAACAGCCAGAAGUCACCAUCUUACCAGCACGUUAUGGGUACACUCUGGCGGCUCCUACCCCUGUGUCCUCCCACCACCCUGUCCUGACUACAUCCACUAGGUAGUUGGGAGCCUUUGGCGGCUUCUGCCACUGCAUCCUGCCGCCACCAUGUCCCGACUAUGUCCACUAGGGAGUUGGCAGCCUUAGUGAUGAUGCCAGCAGGCUGACAGCCGACAGAAAGAUUCAGGUUGCCUCGAAAUUUUACCCAAGCCAUGCCGCACACUCGGGCCAGGCCUCUUGCGAACGACGUAUAACCAGGCUCAACGCAUCAGGGUCGAGGGAGUCCGGAGAUCAAGGCAACCUGCUGUGCAACCAGCGUGCAACCUUUGGUGACCCCUCUACAUGUGCUACCUAUUUCACAGCUGUGCCUCACCUACCAUCUAUCCAAACAGCAUCACCGGCUGUGAUCACUUAUCGAACCAUGGAUGAAUGUUGGGGUGGAGUGAUUUGAACAGACAUUCUAUUUGUCUCUUCAAAUUCUUUGUAAAUAUUUCUGUUAUAAUUCAUAUGUGUCUUUAGUAUCUAGUUUUUAAUAGUUCCUUUCUCUUAGAAUUCUCACCAUCAGCCCCUGCUAUUCUAAUGUAUACCUGCCUUUAAGCCCCGUUUCUCGUAGUUCCUUCGUACUUGUGGAUGUAAUUGAUAGGUUAUUAAUUCUUGUUGUACGGAAGGCUAAAAUACGAACUUACGGCAUUUUUUCUUCCUUUGAUAAUCUACAGCACUGCAAUGUGUUCAAGAAAUGUAACAUAACACGGGCUCUGGUGCAGGAUAAAUUUAAGAGCAAUAUAGAGUACUUAUUUCAAGCACCCAUUAUUUUUUAAAAACUCAAGGAUAUAGGAGCACAAGAAAGAAACUAUUGAACUAGAGAAACAUUGGUUCCCCUCAUAAGUCUGGUAAUAAUGUGACUUCCUUCACUGCAAAGAUACUGGUACUCGCAUACAAGGUUUGAGACAUGAAAGCUAUGAUACCCUUGGCAUUUCUCGGUGCUUAUUUGCCACACUGACGAAUGUCAAAGGCAGCAUAGGUUUCAUGCACACAUUGGUUGUAUUACACCUUUUGAGUAUUGCAUUCCUCAAACACACGGGUUUGCAGCAGUGCUUUAAAUAGCAGAUGUAUUUCCUAAUUUUCAGAAUUUGUUAGUGCAAGAGUAACGCUACAGAUCAUGUAAAAAUAAUUUUACAGACUAUAUGUCCAUGGAUGCAUGUUUCUUCUGAUGACGUAGCAGUGCCAUGUGGUCGGGGGAUGAAUGUCUAUUUCAGAUUUAAAUAUUGGCUUCCUGGCCUAGGUUAGUCUCCUACACUGAGUAUUCUAAGUCAAAGCCCAGUUACUAGAGGAAAGUGAAUAAAACUAGGAAUUAUAAACAUCAAAAGAUCUUGUUCGGGACACUAAUGUAACAAUCAGCAAGGUUCUUUGUGCAUUCAUUUCCAGAUUUGCGAGAUUAUAUUUUGACUGGUUUCAAUAAUGCGAAAACAAAUAUUUGUUUAUUCUCAUGCUAGAGUUGGCUGCCCUCAUUCGCAUGC